AACGCACCUUGCGCCCCUUGGCAUUCCGAGGGGCACACCCGUUUGAGUGUCGUGAAAUCCUCAAAACCCUUUCUUUGAUCUUUUUUGAUCGGGGAAAGGAUUUUGGACUUGGAGGGUCACUGCUGGCUUUUCACUUUGAAAAGUGAGCUCCUCCUAAAGGAAUUAGUGGGGUUUGCUUUGUCGAUCCUUGACGUGAUAAGGUGUUUCUACGUUUUGGAUUUGGCACCGUAGCCUGCUUCCAACCGUCCGACGGACGACUUAUGGUGCUCUGGUCACCACCAUUUCACUGGUGGGAGGCUGGACCCAUGAAAAAACCUUGACCUCAAAUCGGGUGAGACUACCCGCUGAACUUAA
rnacentral:misc_RNA from 1 species